GAGAGAGAGAAGAAUCUUGCCCCGGAAGCUGUAGUGUGGCCCAUUGAGUCACACAGUUUACACUUACUUUAGUCCAUUCAUCUUUACUUGCAAGUGUUCACUGUCAUAAGCCUUUGGUCUGACUCGAGGUCUCUGGUUUCUGCUAUGCCACCGAUAAUGGGCUCUCACUGGGGUUCCUCUUGGCUAUCCUGUUGUCCUGUGUCAUGGAGAUCCUGCUGUUUUGGAUCUAUAGGUUCAUCCCCUUCACAUGCUCCGAAAGUUCACAGAUGAGGGGGAUGUUGGGGUGGGCCAACCCUUAGCCGUAGUUCUGGGGUGGUAGCUGGGUUGGUCAGCCCGCCAGCUUUUUCCUCAUCGCUCCUACCUGGACAAGCUCUCCAGCACUGCUUCAGUUACCCUGCCCAGUGCGGCCUGCAGCAGGGAGCAGGGCCAGUUCUCCUGCUCUCAGGUCCUCAGAUCUGAGUCAUCCACGCUCACACCACCAGGGCCAGCUCCUCUUUUCUUUUUUCUGCCUUAGUUUUUGUUCUGUUUUGUUUUUUAAACUUGACACAAGCCAGGGGCUUCUGGGAAGAGGGAAGCUGAGUUGAGAGACUGCCAGCGUCAGCUUGACCUUAGAAGAGUCUGUAAGGCGCUUUCUUGAUUGAUGGCUGAUGUGGGAAGGCUCAACCUAUGGUGGGUGGUACUGCCCCUGGUCAGGCGGUCCUGGAGGAGCAACUCAUGGGAAACAAGCCAGUAAGCAGUACCCCUCCCUGGCUUCUGCAUCAGUUCUUGUGUCCAGGUUCCUAUCUUGAGUUCCUGCCCUGACUUUCCUCAAGGAUGGAGUGUACCCUUAGACGUGUAAGCCAAGUAAACUCUUUCCUCCCUGAGUUCCUUUUGAUGAUGAUCUUUAGUUUUUACUUUUUUUAAAAAAAAAAUUUCUUAUUUGAAUGAUGAUCUUUUUACAGCAAUAGAAAUCAGACUAAGAGAGGCCCACACCCAUUGGGCAGUGGUGGUGCACGCCUUUAAUCCCAGUAUUCAGGGGGCAGAGGCAGGCGGAUCUCUCUGAGUUCGAGGCCAGCCUGGUCUACAGAGCUAGAUCUCGAGAAACCCUGUCUCAAAAAAAAAAAAAAAUCUUUACAAAAACAACUUUAAAAAAUCCACACUCUGCUCAUCCUGGUUCAUCCUGAAAUUCUGUUCGUGUUUACUGAGCCGAGGUUCUGAAAGGUUAAGGGAACUCUUCAGACUGCCGGUGAGUGUGGACUGGGCCGAUGGCAAUGACAACGGUGUCAUCAGUUGCCUUUUCUGUCUCAAAAUUGCUGUUUCUUUUUUGUUUUAUUCUGUUGUUUAUGUCUAUGGGCGUGGGCUCUUCAAGUGUGUGCGUCAACCACGUGUAUGCCCAGUGCCCUCAAAAACCAGAUGAGAGCACUGAAUUCUCUGGAACUGGAGUUACAGGUGGUUGUGAGACACCAUGUGGGGAUUAGGAACUGAAUCCGGGUCCUUUGCAAGAGCAGCCGGUAAGUUCUGAGCCAUGGCUCUCACCCCACAUUACUUUUUCUUAAAAUCUACCCCAUUACAUCCUAAUAAAACUUCCUAUUUCCCUGAGUCUAUGAUGCUCUGCUUUGUCUACAGUUGACUCUAGGAGUAUCCAUUAUCUAUCUGUGUGUGCGAGGCCGUUAGCCAGGACCUCUGUGAGGAUGAUAGAAUCUGCCUUGAGGAGUUUACCACUCAGGGCAGCGGAGAAAAGCUGCCAAGCCUUACUGUACCUAGCUCAGAUGGACCCUCCAGGUGCUGGCAGGAAGGCUGACUCUAGGGCAGCGGAUGGGGAACUGGAAAGUCCUCGCCACAGGUGAAGUCUUGGAAGAUAGACUGAAGGACAAGUUCAAGACGAAGCCUGCCGAGCCUGUUUGCAGUUUAGGGUGUAUCCCAUAGCUCCAGGAGAAGACUGUACUGGACUGGUGUGAUCAGUGCUGGGACAUAUGACAGACAAGUUGGUGUACGACAGACAGCAGGCCCCUGUGGGGACGACAAGAGUAUGGAGCCAAGAUGUUCACCGAGAAGAGUCGGGAUUAAAUAGUGAUUGAAUGGGAAUUGCUGCUACAGGCAGACACCGAGCUUUGAGCUACACAAAGAAGCUCGCCCAAGGUCACAGAUCGUCACUGGCCGAUCUUGACCUGAACCCCAAGCUCACCAAGUCUUUAAAGUCAUCCUUCUGAAUGUUCAGAAUCCCAUAACCGGGAAAGAAAAGACUGAAGGCCUGAUGCCAUCCGGAUGAUGACCAUCUCCCGGGAAGAGCUUCUGAAAACUUAUCAGACCACCUUGGAGACACACUGGAGCCCACACAAUGAUGAGUCACUAACGAGAGGGACCACGCCUUGGUUGGAACUGUUUAAUUAAACAUGCAUAUACCUCUUGCCUUCAAUUUAAAACUGUCAGUACCAGAAAGUUGGCUUGGGAGGGGGUGGGCACUGAACCUAUUUACUUGUUCCCUUCCCAAUAUGGUCAAGUUGAAUAAACCUCUUUCCCUAUACUUAA